UGGACCUCAGCUCUUGACCUUGAAGCUGCUGUUUACAACAGCAGUAAAAUGUGGCGUCACUCUGCUGGGCUUUUGUACAGAGAGGGUCUGGCCCUGGUGAGCAGUGCCUGUUAUUACAGAGCUGUGACUCGUGCAGGCAAGGAGGGCAAAAGGCACUGUGGGGUAUGGCACUGGUGAUAAAGAAAAAUCUCUCACAAGAUUCUGGAAAUAGCAUAUGGUAGCUUGUGAUGAGAGCAGGAGGCACAGCUGGUUGUUUUUUCUUUUGAGUUCUCCUGAAUUUUCUGUCUCUUUGGGGGUCGCUCCAUGGUGGUCCUGUGCUAUGGCUGGUGUGGGGCACCCUGAAGGGCUGUGGGGAGAGAGUCUGGAGCAGUCCCCAGUCUGUGGUGCUGUGUGGGCAACAGUGUUUUCUUGUUACUCGUAUACUUGUAAAGGCGUGCUGAGAAGUCCCCUAAAGGACAGACAGUCUGCUGACAUGGAUGCAGAGCACGGCCCUUGCUCUCACUGCCUUGCCAUCAACAGGAUGCAAGUCCAAAGGGCUCUGAGACUGCAUUUUGACUGCAGGAGGUCCCAAAUCCAAGCUCCCCACCUGCUGCUGAGAGGACAUAGAAGAGGAUACAGUGGAACUUGCUGUUCUGCAAGACACUGAGGGCUUUUUUCAGCACAUGCUAAUCCUUGAGUCAAUGGAAGACCUAAGCAAGCAUUUAAAGGUGUCCCAAGCCUCUGAGGCCAGAGGGAAGAUCUAAGCCAAGGAAGAAGGACGAAGGGAAAAUCAUGCUUCACCAUCUAGAAGGAGAUGAACAGGAGGGUUGGACCAGGUGACCUCCAGAGGUCUCUUCCAACCAAACAGUUCUGCAGCUCUGAUCUUCUAGUUUCCUAAUGAUCACUUCACAGAGCAGACACCAUACAACAGCUCAGUGCAGGCCUGGGGGAUAGUAGCAGAUGACUCAUGGACUGGACACCAGUGGCAACGCGUUUACCCCGUGUCUGUUGGCUGAGUGCUACUGACUGAAAUCGCUGGCUCUACCUCAGUUUGCAGCAGCAAAGUGUCUGGUCUUGCUCGGAUCUACUUGAGAAAUGGCACUUACUGUUCUUAUCCACAUUCUCACCUUAUGAAAUCUCUGAGUGCGUGCCAAAGUAUCUCAUGGCUUACCUCCCCCACAAGGGUGGACAGAUUUAGGGAAGCUCUAAACAGCACAGAGAAGGACCAUGGUUUGCUCUCUUGCUUUUACUUAACUGGCCAACAGGUGAAUCCUGAGUGAACAGGUCAGCUCAGGAACAAGAAGGAUCUAAAGAGAUCAACUGUAACAGUGACUCUGCCCUUCCUGUUGGUGUUGAGAUUAUCAGCCUGCGAGUAUUGUUCCUUCUUUCUUCUGACUUGUACGUACCUCUUUGGACAAUGUAGUGUGCAAACCCAUUGUUCAUACUCCACUGAAGUGCUGUUAAUCUAAGAGUUAGGAAAUUGCUAGUUCAGAGGUAGGGGAGGAGAAAGAGAUUUACUGUGGGAAAAAGCACCAGAAGCCCACUGGUGGAGGGGAGCUGAGGACAGUGAUGCAUCAGCACCCCAGGGUCAGAACUUUCCUUCUGCAGCUGUGUGUGUUUGUGAAUAAAUAUGUUAAUCCGGUAUUAAUGAUGCCAAA